UAACGGCCGCGGUAUCCUAACCGUGCAAAGGUAGCGUAAUCACUUGUCCCCCAAUUAGAGACCAGUAUGAAUGGCUAAAUGAGGGCCUAACUGUCUCCUACAACCAAUCAAUGAAACUGAUCUUCCAGUACAAAAGCUGAAAUACACCCAUAAGACGAGAAGACCCUGUGGAGCUUCAAACAAUGUCACUACCCACACACACACACAACCCAACAAACGGGCACACCCACCUACACCCCAUCUAGUGAUAGUUUUAAGUUGGGGCGACUGCGGAGCAAAACAAAACCUCCAUGAAACAAGGGCCCCCCCUACCCUAGGAAAACACACCAAAGGAAUAAAAUAACCUGACCCAGUAUUACUGCUCACCGAACCAAGUUACCCCAGGGAUAACAGCGCCAUCCUCUUUCAGAGUCCAUAUCGCCAAGAGGGUUUACGACCUCGAUGUUGGAUCAGGACACCCUGGCGGUGCAGCCGCUGCCAAGGGUUCGUUUGUUCAACGAUUAAUGCCCUAC
rnacentral:rRNA from 1 species